GAAAUUGAGGUACAGGGAGGUGAAGUAACUUGCCCAAGGUGACCUAACAGGUUAUCAGAGCUGUUAAGAUAUCACUGAAUAAUCAGGUGGAAGAAGACUGACGGAUUUAAGCCCAAUUUUUGUGGAAAUUAGUGAAGGAAAUAUACAUUAUUUGUACAUUGAAGGCAGAUAAGGCCUGAGGAGACAAAGCAGCAGCUACUGCAAUACAUUCUAACCAUUAAACAGAAGCCCAGCUGUCAUGACGGUUUUGUGAGCCCUGUCUGAGAUCAGGGUCCCACAUGGACAUCUGCAGCUUCAAAGAAUCCCAAUGACCUAGAUUCAGUUGUAGAUUACUGUCUGGUCUGGCCUUUGCUGCUAUCACUGCACUAGGAGCCUGAUUUCAGUUACACAGGCUGACUUGCUCACUGCUCUGACCCAUUUUCCCAUGGCAACCUGGUUUGCUGUACCAGGAGCUAGAAAAAUACACAGUUGACUUUUUAAGGAUUCCAAGAUUAAGUUUACUCUUUGCCUUUUUUUAAAAAAAAUGUACUUAGCAGAUAUGCAGAAGAAGAGCUGACACUUUGCAACAGCAUUGGAAGCCAGGGAGAGAUUUAGGCCAGGUAUUAUUUACUUACUUACUAAAUCACUGCAUGUCUGGAUGAGGUUUUUAUUUUCUUAUCUCUUUGCAAAAAUAGCCAAUUGGCUUUCCUUCCCCCCAACCACCUCAUCCCUGUUUCAUCCCCCCAACCCAUCGCCUUAUAAUAAAUGUAUUUUACAUUGUACUAAGUCUU